UUAGAGUUUGAAUCCUGGCUCAGGACGAACGCUGGCGGCGUGCUUAACACAUGCAAGUCGAACGAUGACGGUGGUGCUUGCACCGCCUGAUUAGUGGCGAACGNGUGAGUAACACGUGAGUAACCUGCCCUCCACUUCGGGAUAACCUCGGGAAAUCGUGGCUAAUACCGGAUAUGAGCACUCAUCGCAUGGUGGGUGUUGGAAAGAUUUAUCGGUGGGGGAUGGACUCGCGGCCUAUCAGUUUGUUGGUGAGGUGAUGGCUCACCAAGACGAUGACGGGUAGCCGGCCUGAGAGGGCGACCGGCCACACUGGGACUGAGACACGGCCCAGACUCCUACGGGAGGCAGCAGUGGGGAAUAUUGCACAAUGGGCGAAAGCCUGAUGCAGCGACGCCGCGUGGGGGAUGACGGCCUUCGGGUUGUAAACCCCUUUCAGUAGGGAAGAAGCGAGAGUGACGGUACCUGCAGAAGAAGCGCCGGCUAACUACGUGCCAGCAGCCGCGGUAAUACGUAGGGCGCAAGCGUUGUCCGGAAUUAUUGGGCGUAAAGAGCUUGUAGGUGGCUUGUCGCGUCUGCCGUGAAAACCCGAGGCUCAACCUCGGGCGUGCGGUGGGUACGGGCAGGCUAGAGUGUGGUAGGGGAGACUGGAACUCCUGGUGUAGCGGUGAAAUGCGCAGAUAUCAGGAAGAACACCGAUGGCGAAGGCAGGUCUCUGGGCCAUUACUGACACUGAGAAGCGAAAGCAUGGAGCAACCAGA
rnacentral:rRNA from 1 species